AUACUGACCUGGCAGGGGAGGUCCCAUGAUCACGAAGGUGGUUUUCCCAGGGCGAGGCUUAUCCAAUGCACUCCGGAUGUGCUGACCCCUGCGAGUUCCCAAAUGCGGGGAAACUCGACUGCAUAAUUUGUGGUAGUGGGGGACUGCGUUUGCGCUCUCCCCUG
ensembl:snRNA U1 U1 spliceosomal RNA